rnacentral:rRNA from 1 species
UACGAAGGGGGCUAGCGUUGCUCGGAAUCACUGGGCGUAAAGGGUGCGUAGGCGGGUCUUUUAAGUCAGGGGUGAAAUCCUGGAGCUCAACUCCAGAACUGCCUUUGAUACUGAAGAUCUUGAGUUCGGGAGAGGUGAGUGGAACUGCGAGUGUAGAGGUGAAAUUCGUAGAUAUUCGCAAGAACACCAGUGGCGAAGGCGGCUCACUGGCCCGAUCUGACGCUGAGGCACGAA